rnacentral:rRNA from 1 species
AGCGAACGCUGGCGGCAGGCCUAACACAUGCAAGUCGAACGAACCUUUCGGGGUUAGUGGCGGACGGGUGAGUAACACGUGGGAACGUGCCUUUAGGUUCGGAAUAACUCAGGGAAACUUGUGCUAAUACCGAAUGUGCCCUUCGGAGGAAAGAUUUAUCGCCUUUAGAGCGGCCCGCGUCUGAUUAGCUAGUUGGUUGAGGUAAUGGCUCACCAAGGCGACGAUCAGUAGCUGGUCUGAGAGGAUGAUCAGCCACAUUGGGACUGAGACACGGCCCAAACUCCUACGGGAGGCAGCAGUGGGGAAUCUUGCGCAAUGGGCGAAAGCCUGACGCAGCCAUGCCGCGUGAAUGAUGAAGGUCUUAGGAUUGUAAAAUUCUUUCGCCGGGGACGAUAAUGACGGUACCCGGAGAAGAAGCCCCGGCUAACUUCGUG